ensembl:lncRNA
CUGACAGUCACUGCUCAGCUGUGUGAGGCCAUGACCCUGCGAGCUGUCUUGUUCCUGAUCGCCGUGCUGACCGCCUUAUUCUGCCAACACGUCUCCAAGCACAAGCCCACCUCCCAGCUGGGCGGGGUGAUGCGGAGGAUGAGGCUGACACACCACCCGGGGAGAUACCUGGACAACACGUGGAAGGUCCCUCUUCGUGCACAGGAGGGGGAAGGCUCAGGCCAGGUGAUCCAGCGUGUCCGUCGCUCCUGGCUGGCGGACUACCUGGGCGACGUGUGGUUUCACUUCUCGGAGAGCUUCCCCAUCGCCGUCCUGUACAUCUUCCCCGUCACCGUGCUGAUCCUGCUCUUCCUCUGCUGCUUCACGUACGUGUGCACGUUGCACACCCCCUGGUGCUCCCGUUCUCAGUGCCCGCUGUCCCAGUACAAGGCAGCAGGGAGGAGCUGCUCCUUGGGCUCCUCGUGUUUUUUAGGGUAGGUAUGGAGUGAGGCGACCUGGAGGACUCUGAGAGAAGCAGCGUGGCUACGCUGAGAGAGAUUCUGGUGCCUCGAUGGAGCUCAGCUCAGAGAAGCCUCCGAAACUCCAGGAGCCCCGAAGCGGUGUGGAAGGGCCAGGAGCAGAACCACCUUUCUCUUCCUUUCAGAUGAUUUUAAAGAUUCUCCCGGACGGAAUCUGCCACCCCCAAAUGAAGUUCAGACUUCACCUGAGGCUCUGCUGUCUGAGUUAUGGCCAGAACGCAAGAGGUUCACUGGGGUUCGUAGAAUCGUUAGGGUUGGAAAA